CCUACGGGAGGCAGCAGUGGGGGAUAUUGCACAAUGGGGGAAACCCUGAUGCAGCGACGCCGCGUGUGGGAAGACGGUCCUCUGGAUUGUAAACCACUGUCCCCAGGGACGAAGAUGACGGUACCUGGGGAGGAAGCUCCGGCUAACUACGUGCCAGCAGCCGCGGUAAUACGUAGGGAGCGAGCGUUGUCCGGAAUUACUGGGUGUAAAGGGAGCGUAGGCGGGACUGCAAGUUGGGUGUCAAAUCUACCGGCUCAACCGGUAGCCGCACUCAAAACUGCAGUUCUUGAGUGAAGUAGAGGCAGGCGGAAUUCCUAGUGUAGCGGUGAAAUGCGGAGAUAUUAGGAGGAACACUAGUGGCGAAGGCGGCCUGCUGGGCUUUUACUGACAUUGAUGCUCGAAAGUGUGGGUAUCAAACAGGAUUAGAUACCCUGGUAGUC
rnacentral:rRNA from 1 species